UGUAUCACGAUAAUGACCAGUUGUCCAAGAACUAUUAUGUUUAUUUCAUUGAGAAACCAUGUUUUGGUAAAUUCUCAUAAAUUCAAAAUGCCUAAAGCAAACUCGAGUAGUUAUACGAUUUCUAUGGCAAGAGUGAAUACCAGUCGUAGUAAUACUGCCAUUCUUUUAGUGCUAUUUUUCAGUAUAUAAAUACUUAAUCAAGUUCUCUAUAAUUUUAUAAUUAACGAAAACAUAUAGUAAACAAUCUAACAACUUA
rnacentral:lncRNA from 1 species